CCUGGUUGAUCCUGCCAGUAGUCAUAUGCUUGUCUCAAAGAUUAAGCCAUGCAUGUGUAAGCACACACUGUUUUAAAAGUGAAGCCGCGAAUGGCUCAUUACAACAGCCACAGUUUAUUAGAACUUACAAUCAUGGAUAACUGUGGUAAUUCUAGAGCUAAUACACGCACAAAAACUUCAACUGAAUUGGUUGAAGUGCUUUUAUUAGAACAAAAACCGAACGGCGUUUGGCGAAUGUUGAACGUCGAAACUGUUUGGUGAAUCUGAAUAACUAUUUCUGAUCGCAUGGUCUAGCACCGGCGACAUCACUUUCAAGUGUCUGCCUUAUCAACCUUCGAUGGUAGUCUAUGCGACUACCAUGGUGAUAACGGGUAACGGAGAAUCAGGGUUCGACUCCGGAGAGGGAGCCUGAGAAACGGCUACCACAUCCAAGGAAGGCAGCAGGCGCGCAAAUUACCCACUCCCAGCUUGGGGAGGUAGUGACGAAAAAUAACGAGACGAUUCUCGUUUGAGAAACGUUAUCGAAAUGAGUACGCUUUACACACGCUAACGAGUAGCAAUUGGAGGGCAAGUCUGGUGCCAGCAGCCGCGGUAAUUCCAGCUCCAAUAGCGUAUAUUAAAGUUGCUGCGGUUAAAACGCUCGUAGUUGAAUUGUGGUCUUAGACAACAGUCCCCCUACAUAGGUGUGGCACGGUUGCUCGAGAUCUUCAUUCGUGGUUGCUGUUGUUGCUCUUCAUUGAGUGUCAAUGGUGCCUCGAGAUUUUACUUUGAAAAAAUUAGAGUGCUCAAAGCGGGUUGUGAUGCCUGAAUAAUGGUGCUGCCUGAAUAAUGGUGCAUGGAAUAAUAGAAUACGAUCUCGGUUCUAUUUUGUUGGUUUUCGAACCGGAGAUAAUGAUUGAAAGGAACAGACGGGGGCAUUCGUAUUGCUGCGUUAGAGGUGAAAUUCUUGGAUCGCAGCAAGAUGAACAAUUGCGAAAGCAUUUGCCAAGAAUGUUUUCAUUAAUCAAGAACGAAAGUUAGAGGUUCGAAGGCGAUCAGAUACCGCCCUAGUUCUAACGGUAAACUAUGCCAACCAGCGAUUCGCCGAAGUUCAUUUAAGACUCGGCGAGCAGCUUCCGGGAAACCAAAGUGUUUCGGUUCCGGGGGAAGUAUGGUUGCAAAGCUGAAACUUAAAGGAAUUGACGGAAGGGCACCACCAGGAGUGGAGCCUGCGGCUUAAUUUGACUCAACACGGGAAAACUCACCCGGCCCGGACACUGGAAGGAUUGACAGAUUGACAGCUCUUUCUUGAUUCAGUGGGUAGUGGUGCAUGGCCGUUCUUAGUUGGUGGAGCGAUUUGUCUGGUUAAUUCCGAUAACGAACGAGACUCUACCCUAUUAAAUAGUGACAGUAUUGUAUUUUUUGUGCUGAUCACUUCUUAGAGGGACUGGCAAAUUGAAAGCUGCACGAAAAAGAGCAAUAACAGGUCUGUGAUGCCCUUCGAUGUCCGGGGCUGCACGCGCGCUACAAUGAAAGCGUCAACGUGAGUUACGUCCUUACCUGAAAAGGUUUGGCAAUCGAAUGAAACGUUUUCUUGAAUGGAAUAGGGAAUUGCAAUUGUUUCCCUUGAACGAGGAAUUCCCAGUAAGCGUGAGUCAUUAGCUCGCGUUGAUUACGUCCCUGCCCUUUGUACACACCGCCCGUCGCUACUACCGAUUGGAUGAUUUAGUGAGGUGUUUUGACUGGCGCCAGUAGUCGGAUGUAUUCGGCUUCGCGCCGGGAAAUUUCCCAAACCAAAUCAUCUAGAGGAAGUAAAAGUCGUAACAAGGUUUCCGUAGGUGAACCUGCGGAAG
rnacentral:rRNA from 1 species